rnacentral:tRNA from 8 species
UUAAUUGAAACCAAAAUAGAGGUUUAUCACUGUUAAUGAUAAUAAUGAAAUUAAUUUUCCAAUUAAA